rnacentral:rRNA from 1 species
ACUCCUACGGGAGGCAGCAGUGGGGAAUAUUGCACAAUGGGCGCAAGCCUGAUGCAGCCAUGCCGCGUGUAUGAAGAAGGCCUUCGGGUUGUAAAGUACUUUCAGCAGUGAGGAAGGUGGGUAUGUUAAUAGCAUAUUCAUUUGACGUUAGCUGCAGAAGAAGCACCGGCUAACUCCGUGCCAGCAGCCGCGGUAAUACGGAGGGUGCGAGCGUUAAUCGGAAUUACUGGGCGUAAAGCGCAUGCAGGUGGUUUGUUAAGUCAGAUGUGAAAGCCCGGGGCUCAACCUCGGAAUUGCAUUUGAAACUGGCAAACUAGAGUACUGUAGAGGGGGGUAGAAUUUCAGGUGUAGCGGUGAAAUGCGUAGAGAUCUGAAGGAAUACCGGUGGCGAAGGCGGCCCCCUGGACAGAUACUGACACUCAGAUAGCGAAAGCGUGGGGAGCAAACGAGGAUUAGAUACCCUGGUAGGCUCU